UACGGAGGGUGCGAGCGUUGUCCGGAAUCAUUGGGCGUAAAGGGCGCGUAGGUGGCCUGCUAAGCGUGCGGUGAAAGCUCGGGGCUCAACCCCGAGUCGGCCGUGCGAACUGGUGGGCUUGAGCACUGUAGAGGCAGGCGGAAUUCCGGGUGUAGCGGUGGAAUGCGUAGAGAUCGGGAAGAACAUCGGUGGCGAAAGCGCUCUACUGGACGGUAUCUGACACUGAGGGACGAAAGCUAGGGGAGCGAAUGGG
rnacentral:rRNA from 1 species